GAAAAUGGCGUCUCGCUCUUUGCUCAAUGCAUUCAAACGCUCCUGCAACUCAUUUUCUCUCUCUACAACUCCGAGCACUUACUCACUCCACCUUCUCCGACCACUUCAUGCCGUUGCGGCCAACCUACGAAAUGUCUCUCCGGCACCGACGCCGUUUUCUCGAGGUUUUGCCACUCGUCAAACGUCGUCGUCACUGAAUGAUCCAAAUCCUAACUGGUCCAAUCGACCUCCGAAGGAAACGAUUUUGCUUGACGGCUGUGAUUUUGAGCACUGGCUUGUUGUGAUGGAGAAGCCUGAAGGUGAUCCUACCAGAGAUGAAAUUAUUGAUAGCUACAUCAAAACACUUGCUACGAUUGUUGGAAGUGAGGAGGAAGCACGGAUGAAGAUUUAUUCCGUCUCAACUAGACAUUACUUUGCUUUUGGUGCCCUUGUAUCUGAAGAGCUUUCUUAUAAACUAAAAGAGCUGCCUAAGGUUCGUUGGGUGCUUCCUGAUUCUUAUCUCGAUGUUAGAAAUAAAGAUUAUGGAGGGGAACCUUUUAUCAAUGGACAGGCUGUACCAUAUGACCCGAAAUACCAUGAGGAAUGGGUGAGAAACAAUGCUCGUGCUAAUGAGAGAAACAGGCGCAAUGACCGACCUCGUAAUUUUGAUAGGUCCAGAAACUUUGAGAGAAGAAGAGAGAUGCAGAACCCUGGAUCCAGUAUGGGUGGUGGACCUCCCAAUAUGAGAAAUGCUCCACCCCCUAACAUGGGUGGAAUGCA
rnacentral:misc_RNA from 1 species